UCCUGGCUUAGGAUGAACGCUGGCGGCGUGCCUAACACAUGCAAGUCGAGCGGACUUAAGAGAAGAUUCUCGGAUGAAAUUUUAAGUAGCGGCGGAUGGGUGAGGAACGCGUGGAGAACCUGCCCUUCACAGGGGGAUAACAGCUGGAAACGGCUGUUAAUACCGCAUAUGCUCACGGAGCCGCAUGGCCCCGGGAGGAAAGCUCCGGCGGUGAAGGAUGGCUCCGCGUCGGAUUAACUUGUUGGCGGGGUAACGGCCCACCAAGGUGAUGAUCCCGUAGCCGGCCUGAGAGGGCGACCGGCCACAUUGGGACUGAGACACGGCCCAAACUCCUACGGGAGGCAGCAGUGGGGGAUAUUGCACAAUGGGCGCAAGCCUGAUGCAAGCGACGCCGCGUGAUGGAGGAAGUACUUCGGUAUGUAAACAUCUAUCAGCAGGGAAGAAGAUGACGGUACCUGCAGAAGAAGCCCCGGCUAACUACGUGCCAGCCGCAGC
rnacentral:rRNA from 1 species